CCCGGCCCUCAGGGAAGCCCGGCCCGGCCCUCAGGGAAGCCCGGCCCGGAGGGAAGGCCUGCCCUUUCAUCUCGCUGCCGCCCUGGGCACACACCGGCUGACACAUUUCCCUGCCCGGAUAGGCAAGGAGGCCAAUGGGACGUGGGCUGUACCAGCUGCAGUGUGGCCAGUGGAACCAGGGCAGUGACCACACACCUGGGCUGAGGCAGCUCCAGCUCUGGGGUCAGUUCUGGGUGCUUCACUACAAGAAGGAAAUGCGGGGCUGGAGCAUGUCCAGAGAAGAGAAUGGAACUGGGGAAGGGUCUGGAGGACAAGGAGCAGCUGAGGGAGCUGGGAGGACUCAGCCUGGAGAAGAGAAGGCUUGAGGGGCUCUUCUUGCUCUCCACAACUCCCUGGCACGAGGAUGCAGUCAAUGUGAGAGUCAGGUUCUGCUCCAAGGGAACAAAGCACAGGACAAGAGGGACUGGCCUCAGGUUGUUGCAGGGGAGGUUCAGGCUGGACAUCAGUAAAAAUCUCUGUGGAAAGGCUCAUCCAGCCCCAGCACAGAUUGUCCGGAGUAGUGGUGGAUUUAAAAGAGUUUAAAGGGUUUAAAAGCCGUGUAGAUGUGCCACUUGGGGACGUGGUUUAAUGGUGGCCUUGGCAGUGGUGGGGGAACAAUCGGUCUCGAUCUUCAGGGUCUUCUCCGCUAAGUCCAUGAUUGCAAAAGUUAGGUCUGUGCUUGUUUCCAAGGUUUGAUCAGCUGAACACUGUGUUUGGGAGGUUUACAGGACAUCCUUCAACGUCCUGACUGUGCUUGAGCAGAAGUCAUGCUUUCUCUGGCAGAAGAAUGAGCAAGAUAUGUGAACAAGUGCACUGCAACUUUUCUGCUUGGAAAGAGACCUUUCCUGGACGAGAAUCCUGUUUUGGAAAUUGUUAUGUAUGCACACAAUGGCUGAGUGCAGCUGUUUGAGUACAAGCAGUGCUGUAGCUGGGCCUUGCCCUUGUGGCAAGAGAAGGCUCCAGUGUGAAGAUCAGCCCUGACUUGGCUCAUACAGAACUGGGCUGGCCCAGAACACUUUUCUGCCCCUGACAGGCCAAAAUGGCAAUGCCUGCUUUUGGUGAACAAAGGUGAUCUGUUUCUACACCUUCAGUCUGUGAUUGGUGACACAGUUUUCUCAGGGCAUUUCCUAAUGACUCUAAAGAUAAUUUUUGAGUGUCUUAUUGCUUCCUGAAGGUGAAAAUCCACUCAGUGAUUUGCAUUGCUGAAUUGUGUCCUUCAGUGUGUCCCAGCUGUGGUUUUGCUUUAAAAACCCCUGCAGUUCAUCUGAAGAUACCUUCUUUUGCAGGCCAGGGAUAGGCAGUGGUACAAGAUGAAUGAUGCCUUAAGACAUCUCUCUGCCAAAGUACAUUUACUUUUCUAUGCCAGGAAGCAAUGAGUGUGAAAGGAUGUUCAGAAUAUACUCUCUCCCGUUACUGUUGCUUUCUUCUCUGAUGAGUUUUGGGUUUUGUCAUAGGAAAGAAUGGCUGUUUGUAAGUUCUGUCUGUCCUGCAGUUUGACAGGCCAUUUUUUCUCCCUUGCUGUCUGGCACUAAACCGGGCUUGUAUAAAUUGCCAGAUGUGUGCUCUCUGAGAAGGGCCAGCUGUGAAAAGGGGCAAAAUGGGCAUCUGAGAGACUAUAAAGAUGAGUCACUGCUUGAAAGGGACAGACAUGGCUGGAAAACCGUGAUCAAUUUUUCAAAGCCUUGUGCUGCUUCAGUUUUCUGCAUGUCAUAUCAAGUGUUCCAGAAAAUGACAGGCCUGAAAGCCAUGAGGACACUGCAAGAAAUCAAGGAGGUGGAGAAAGCCCACACACACUGAGGAGGGGGAGAACCUGAACAGAAGCCAGCCAGACAUUCCACCUCCCAGGAAAUGCAGGGCACCCUCACCACCAGCUGGGACAUGGCCCUGGGAACCUGCUCAGCUGCUCCCACAGGGAGAGAAGGAUCCUCCUGAUGGGGGAAGCUCAGGGGAGGAUGGUUCAAGAAUGAAGGGAAGGAAUUCCAGAGAGGAGAACUAAAAAGUAGCAACACUCGCAACACUGCAACAGUUGCCUCACUCUUUGCCAGCCCCUUCAAGUUCAUGUCUUUUGUAGCGACCUGUUCAGUCACCACACUUCCCAGAAUAAUCUCCCAGGGACCACCAAAGGCUGCAGACUCAGAGGAAUGUUGACCAUUAAACCUGACAUUUACGAUUGAAACAAUACAACCAUCCCAGUCACAAGUGGUGCUUCUGAUUGUUCUCUAGAGAGGAAGAAUGACCAUGCAAGAAACAACAGACAGGGUUUUUUAAAAUUUGUUUAACUCAAGACUUCCUUUAUGAACACUCCCCUGUGAUGCAGAAAGGUGGGGGCUUUGUAAACCUGUAUUGAAAGAGCACACAGAGAUCUCAGGGAAAAUCAAAUCACCAAAAAUCUCCUUGCAGGGACAUCUAACUGAUCUUGGGACUACUUUGUGCAGCCAGCAAGCUCGGUGCUGGUGGUGAAGCUGAGGCUGAGUGGAGCUGCUGCUGCCUACACCAUGCCAGCAGCCACAGCACCUUCUCUGUUAUCUGAUUUCCCCUUUGGAAAUCAUGUUCCUUGAUCCUCUCCUGCCCUCAGCUGAACGUGGCCUGAGUGGAUUUCUGCACUCAAAUGUCUCUGAAAUCAGUGCAGCUGUGACCAGAACCAUGGGAACUUGAGUGAAACACACUCCAGGAGGGAUUUCUGCAUUCAACAACUGGAAAAAGCUUGCCUCUCCAAGGGUUUUGUCUGACAGCAUGGCUCCAGCAGAGCUGCAGAGUGGGUUCAGAAGCACAGCAGAAUAUGCUUCCACAAUCACUCGAGAGAACUCCAGCUCCUUAUGACGAAAGCUGCACAUACAACAUGCAGUGGGAGAGGUUUUGUCAUUCAAGGAAGAGGCCUGUGUGUCUGUGCAGCAGCACAGACUGGGCUGCAGGAACAGAAGAGCUGUCACUGUGUCUGGCACCAGAUGCCACAUCAAAGAACAAGAUAAUUUCUCAAUUUCUCUCCUCUAUGGCGUGGAUAUUUGCUCUUUGUUGCCUGGUCUGGGUUCAGGUCACCCAUGUUUGAAGCACACAGCAGAUCACACCAAGCUUCCAGAAGUUUCUGGUUCCCAAAGGUAAAGGCACUCACCUGCAGCAGAGGGAAGCUAAAAUACCUUCCUGUCAUUGGAAAACUUGUUCUCUUCCCUCAGGUUACAAAGGUGAAUGCAAUAAAUAAAGCAAUAGUUAGCUGACA